UACGUAGGGUGCGAGCGUUGUCCGGAAUUAUUGGGCGUAAAGAGCUUGUAGGCGGUUUGUCGCGUCUGCUGUGAAAAUCCGAGGCUCAACCUCGGACUUGCAGUGGGUACGGGCAGACUAGAGUGUGGUAGGGGAGAUUGGAAUUCCUGGUGUAGCGGUGGAAUGCGCAGAUAUCAGGAGGAACACCAAUUGCGAAGGCAGCUCACUACACGGUCAUUGACACUGAGGCACGAAAGCGUGGGGAGUCAAACAGG
rnacentral:rRNA from 1 species